GGUGUGUAUUUCACCAAAGCUGCACUGUUGUUUUUGUAGUAAUGUCCCUCAUCAGUGCUCGGCUCUCCCCCUCUCCUCCUCUUCCUCCUCCUCCUCCUCUCUCUCUCUUCAUUUGCUUCCCUGCAGGCCUGAUGUGAUUUAAGACUGUGCUUGAAGACUGAAGACCGGGCCGUUAUCUGCCUGUUAUUGAUGCAGGCUGUAACUCUCACUGUCCAGGCUCCACAGGCAGACGGCUGAGGGGAAAGAAAGAGUGGAGUGAUAAUGCCGGCAGAUUGAUGGCUUUCUCUGUAAUGAUCAGACUUCAGACUGUGUGUGUGGUUCCUCGUAGAGUCAUGUAAAAACAAGACGUUGGAAAAAUAAAGACAUUUUUCCUCCACCCUGCAGCUUUCCCUUUCUUUCCAUUUCUUCCACUUUCACCCCCUCUGCUUCUCCCUCUCUCCAUCUUCACAUUAUGUAGAUGUCAAUAAUUUAGCACCAGAUUCAAGAAUUCAGUGCUUAACAACAGGUUACGAUCUUUGCUAUAAAAGCCAUAAAAUAUGCGUUUGUGAAUAAAAUAUGAUUCUGUCUCUUUCAAAGCAGCUGAAACCUGUCAGGCUUGCCAUUUGUUUUCUGACAGUAUCUUGCUGAAGUGACACUUCAAAAGCGAGGGUUUGUCUUUAUCUUGGCAGGUUUUCAAUCUUUUGCUCUAUUUCUGCACACGGCGGAGCAUUAUUUUCUAUCCAUUGUUUUGUAGACUGUCUUUCAUCUCCAGGGCUUUGUUGUUUUCUCACUCUCUCUCCCCCUCUUACAUCGUGACUUCUUCUUCAUCUUUGUCCUACUCUUCUUCUCCUUCUUCAUUUUUGUAUUUUACAGUACAAGAAAAAUAAAAAACAGCUCACACUACCCACUUGAACUGCCCCUUUUUGACCUCCUCUCACCUGCCUCAUUCAAAACCACCCAGCUCUAAUUCUGUGAUGCUGUCCUCUCCCUCUUACCUCCCCUCUCCUCCUCCUCUCUUCCUCCUCCUCCUCUUUACCCCACAGGCCUGAGGAUUGUUCCUUUGUUCCUGACAUCUGUUUUGUUGGGUGAUUAAUUGAGAUGAGCAUGUGGGGUGAAGGCCUGUGCAGGGGGAGCUCAGACCCCCCAGGUAAUGUGGAUGUGCAUGUGUGUGUGAGUGGACAUGUUUGUGAAGGUGUGUGUGUGUUGUUAGUGGAGCUAGAACUGGUUAGUUAGUGCAGCUUGUCAGGAUUUCCCCAAAGAGUUAUGAAAUAUGAAUAAUCUAUCACAUCUUGAUAAAAAUGAUUUUUAAAGUGGUCCGAAGCAGAAGAUAUCCUUUGUCUAUUUUCAGUGUCUUUACCUGACAGGGUAAGAUGAAAACUGACAGCUGAUUGACAAGUGACGGCACAGGUUGAAGACACCAGCGUGCAAAAUAUCUCAGGAGACAGGAAAUCAUGAUUCAAUAUGACAACCGUGUUAUGUACAGCGUGUAUACACCCUCACUGGCCUCUUCAGUGGGACACCUAUACACUUAGACAAUAAAAUGUGAGCCAAUACCAGGGGCAUGGCAUCGGAGGAGGAAGUGAGGAUGAUUUGAAGAGCCCAUGCUGCAGGGGCCCUAAAAUAUAAGUUCACUUGCAUCAGUCUAAAGGUGGGGCCCAGUGUAAUAUUUCUGUAGUAUUUGGUGCCAAAAAUCCCUGGCAGCACCCAUAACCGCUCCAAUAUUGCCUCUGCUUUACAAAGCUCACAGUAUGAGGGAUCACUUCUCAGUAUGAUGAGGUAAAGUUCAAAACAACACCUCAGUAAAAAAAGUGUUGUUUAAUCGACAGCAUCACUGUGUCUGAGUGUCUGCAAGACCAGGAAUUAAUAUAUUUGUUGAAGGCAGAUUUAAAGGGGCCAUGGCAUGAAAAACUGACUUUGUUAACGGGAAGGGGGUGCAUAUCAGGGAUAGAAAACCGCUACAAUCCCCCCCAAGUUCGAAAAAAUUCCAUCCAGUCGUUGUUUAGUUAUCUCCGUAUUCAGGAACUGUGUGCUCAGAGCCGUUCUGAAAACUCCACUGACAUGACGUCAUGUCAGUGCUGGCGGGUUGAUGGUACUGCCCAUAGAGCCGCCCACUGCCCUGCCCACUAAAUUAUCUAAACAGCGCCAUUUUCCCGGCCGCUCGCUCGCAUACGUCCGGUUAGAACCAUGGCGGAAGUACGACCUGAAAAAGAGGCAGCGUUUGCUCUGUUGUUGGCUGCACAAACGAGCACAAAACUCUUUUGAAAACUCCCUCGUCGGAGGAUUUGAGGACUCAAUGGGUGGAUUUUAUUUACAAUGGGAAUGUACCCGCGGCACUUUGGAAAUAUCUGUACGUAUGUGCGAACCAUUUUACUUCGGACUGUUUUAUCAACGAGGGACAGUUCAACGCUGGAUUUGCUAGAUGUCUGAAGAUAAAGAAUGGAUCCGUACCAACUAUCCGUGAUCCUACUACAAACGUGGCAUCUGUAAGUGUGAACGUUUUAUUUUGACUUACUGUUUAGCCUAAAUUCCCCCCAGUGCCUCAGCACGGCCACCACGCUUUGAUGAACACGCGCCGGUUUACCGGAUUCUCCCGUAUUUUAGCUGUUCGCUUCUUCCCCGACAACUCCGGCGGCGGGGGACAAAAUCCCCCUCCGGAGCAGCAUGUAGCUUUAGCAUUUACCCGUGCGGCGACGCGCCUGUUUUGGCGGCUAAGAGUUUCUUCCGGAGCCUCUCCCUCUGGGUCAGACUCUGGCUCAAACUGGUAGGGUUGUACGAGCGAUCUUCUUGCAGCCAUGACCGAGCCAGUGUAAACAUUAGCACAUGGCUAUCGGAGCACAGCCACAACCCCAUCCAGAGAGAUGGGUGUAAAGUGGACGUGGCUUAGGUGCAGCUCAUUUCACUAAAGAGACAUGGCCCAAAUGGAGGAUUUUGAGCGGAGCUGUUUUUAGCUUAUUAAAAGAGCACUAAAAUAAUUGAUCCAAAUCAAAUUUUGACCGAAGGACGUCACAGACAUGCUUUUAACAUACCAGGGGACUAUUUUAAGUUGUGUGAAAUUGGCAUGCCAUGUGGCCUUUAAAACACUGGGUGUGGUGUGUAUAACAAUAAAUAUCAGAACAACAGAUUUCUAGGGCUUGAAAUCUGCAGGAUCAUUAAUGUCUCUGAGAUAUCUUAGCAGAUCUGCCAGAACUCUGCCAGAUGUUUGCGUCUCCAUUUUUUUCUCUGAGAUUCAACUUUUUACAUACAUCCCAUAUUUAUAAUUUCUAUUAAAAAUUCAAAUAAAAUAAACAUUUAAAAAGUCAAAAGGAAAAAAAAACAGCCAAAUAAAUUUGACGUUAAAUUCCAAUUGAGCAAGACAUUCAAACAUUUUUAAAUCAGCUAUGAUUUUUUUUUGCUUUCACUUUUUGUGUUUUCUUUUAUGUUAUGUUCUAACGUGUUAUUCAAAUCCACAUUUGCUCUCUUUUUCAUAUUGUGUUUACAUCUAGCAGUAGCAAUUGUUUUAAGUGAGCUUUAUAGAUAGACUUGCAAUCAGUUUGCUGAGCGCUCUGCCGGUUUCCAAUGUUUCUUAAGGAUUUUUUAUCCUCUGUACCAAGAGUGAUUUUUAAAUUAGUAUUCAUAUAACAUCUUAUUUCAUAUAGAAGCUCUUAUGCAUGAUUUGUCACUGUGUUUAUUUAUGUCUGCUGUGACAAGAUGUGAUAAAUAAUGAAAAUUAGACAGUCUUCAAAUAGAGAUGAUUAUUGUAUAUGCUGGAAUAGAAAAAAGGGAGCUGACUGGAAUAUAAAUUAUAAAUUAUGAUAAUGGAGAAGAGGAGGGGUUCAGCAAGUGUGAGUUUUUAAUAUAAAAUUGUUAUUUUUGUUCGGAAACAACUCCUACUUUUUUUUUUCUUUUGCAGGUUUACAUGUUGGACUGAUAUUUUACCUAGUGAUACACCAAUAAGAGUUUUAAUCAAAGUAUUUUGACAUAUUUUAUAACAACUUUAAUGUUUAAGAUAAGAUCCCUGAGGAGAAAUUUGAUGUUUUUUCCUUUAUAAAAAUUUCCCUUUUCUUUCUUAUUGAAUAAUGCAACAAUAACCCCUGAUUUACUGUGCCUGCAGUGAAAGGAUUACAAUUAAUGCAACUUUUGCAAAGACCCAUGUGCUUGUCCCUAAAGACACAACAUCCUCUAUUUUAGGCUGCUUCGUGUCUUCACUUGUACAGGUGCAAACACAGAGGUUUGUGUUAGGUUUAUUUACACCAUUAUUUUGAGGUUUUUCCUGUUUCCUUUUUUCAUGCAGACAAGAUUUUACAAACCGGGAACAAGGUGCAAGUCUCAGUGUGUGUCUGAGAUUUGAUUUAUGUCCUAUAAGGUCAGAAAGCAUCAGAGGGGACAGACACAGGUUUGGAGGCCACAGAGCCAGGUCAGAGGUCAAUGUGGUGGCCGGAGCGGGGCAGCAAAAUGUGCUGAAAGUCCCAUGAAGCUCAUGAUCCUGUGUGUGUGUGCGUGUGUGCGCGUGUGUGCGUGUGUGCGUGUGUGUGUGUGUGUGUGUGUGUGUGUUUUGUUUCCCAGGGGAUAGUAAUCAAUGUGGCCCAGCGGAUGGUGGCAGAGCGAGUGUGGGACCUGCCUGACUCAGAGGGGCUGCAGAAUGGAGCAGCAGAUACAAACAUGCAGAGAUAAUCACAGAUAUCAGCAUCAGAGGAGAGAGCAGGGCCAAACAAAGACACACACACACACACACACACACACACACACACACACACACGCUCAUACCGUAGAUCAGUGUCACAGCAGCAGGGUAAUUUCCACAUCAGUUGCUCUGUGUUGCAGAACAGAGCAUAAAAAACCAUGAACAGAACAACAGCUGUCCGAAAUAAAGCCAAAUUCGUUAGAGCUCCCCCUGCUGACCAGCUGUCAUAUAGGUCCUUACGCCUGCCUUCUUCUUGAUAACAAUGGGGUCAAACUAGAAAACAAUAAAAACAACAAAUAAUGCUUUUAAAUAUGCUCUCUGUCAUUGCAGGUGGUUUUGAUUUGUUUGGAGUAUUCAUUUUUCAGAGAGGUUUAAUUAGCUUUUUGAUGUCAGAGAGAUGGGUGAUUGACAGCUCUGCAGACCAGUGUGGCUCCUGUAGUCAGCAGGAUAGGGGAGGAACAGAAAAAAAAUAAAAAUAACAAUCACAAAUGCAAGAAUCAUUGAUUUUUAUAUGACUUUUUCACAUCAUCACAAAAAUCCAUUCUCCUGUGAACUACAGCAGCCUGGGGAUCCUUGACGCUUUAUUGGCGCAAUAUGUCAGUAACCCCCUGCAGUGCUUUGGCUUUACGUCUCUCAAGGAGAGGAGAUAGAGGCCCAUUCUUUAUUUACUUUUAGCCCAGAUUACUUAAUAUGACAAUAAAUUUGUGUGGAAACUGAUUGCCUCAAAUCAUUAAAGUUUUUGUACAUGGAAGAAACUAAAAGAUGGUGAAAUUAGUUGUUUUUGCAUCACAUUGCAGAUAUGGGUGAUUCUGCAGCACUGCAGUGACAUUGGAUAAUCGACUAUAGCCGUCUGAUGUUGCUUCUUGAUUUCCUGGUCAUGUCUGAAAAUAACUUCUUGGUGGUAACUUUGCUCAGAAUCCUGCCCGCACUACAACACAGUGGAUAUAGGAAAUGCACUUAUAGGCCAAGUGCCACCUACCAGAACAGAAAGAAGAAGAAAAAUAAGUUGGAGUCUGUGGUAAGCUUGAAAUAUCGCUAUCUUGAUGAACUAUGUAAGCAGCUUUUAAGGGGAAGUUAACGCCCGCAACCUUGAAGUUAAAAGCAGACCCAGCUAAGCCUCUUGCUGUGACACUGUUGACUUUACAACCCAGCUCUGAGACAGUGCAGAAUCACUGUCUGUGGCUUUGCAGACAUCACUGCCUAUGCUUUAGUGGUUGCUGUGUUUUUCUUUAUAAAAAAAUGAUCUAAAAUAAUAAAGGAUGGGCACUCCAAAGUUUAACUAAGAUUGAAUGCUGAUUUAUUGAGAGUGUCUUUACAUGCAGGGUUAAUUAAUUAGGCAGGCAGCAGGUAAAAAUAUAAUGUUUGACAGAAACAUGUCCGCCUCUACAGUGGCAGAUCAGGACAUUGCCCCCUUUCAGCAGGUUACAGUUGGGUCAUCUCCUGGUUGACCCAUUUCAUAUCAAAACAAUCAACAACCUGGAUGUCCGUCAAACGAUGGAAUCAUGUCAUGUUUUUGUACGACCAGAGAGUUUUGUCUUUUUUAUGUCCUUUCUUUAUCUGUCGAGGCGUUAUUUACAAACACAUCCCACUUAGCAUUGUUUGGACUAAAAGAGGUCUAAUAGACGUCUAAAUGUAGCCUAGAUGGCUGGUCUAAAAUCAGGCUACCACAGGUCUAAAAAUGAAAGUUUUUUAGACGUCUCAGUUUAGACCAAGUUGAGACUAAAUCUAAAUGUGGGCUAUAUCUAUACUCCACUGUAUAUUGCUCAAUGGCUAUCAUAAUUAUAGUACUUGUAGAUCAGUUAUGCAACUCACAGUUGCUUUUGAAAUAAAUAGUUAUCGAAUAAUAGGUUAAAGUGCAACGCCUAAAUUCCAUCUAAAGAUACACAGAAUUUAGAUGGUUGAAAUUAGGUCUAAAAAAACCUAGAUGUCUAAUAGGCAUCUAUUACUCAGUGGGAUCCAUGCUGAUCAACUUCUGAAUCAAAGCCCGGACACUAGAGCAUGCACUGACGGCUUAGGCCAGUUUAAUUUCUAUUGAGCUGUGUACAUAAAAGAGAAAAACGAUCCCCAACCGCAUUAUCCAGGUUUUGAACAUAUAGUAAGUGUUUCAAAAGCUUCGUACACUUGAGGGGAAACUCAAAGAACAAGGAUUGUGGGACUAGAUCUCGUUUCUUAAAUUCAAAGGAUGAAGUGUGGAGAUUCUUUCUUUUGAAAACCCCAGAACGUAAAGGCCGAUGUUUAUGCUACAUGUAUGUGUGUAUUCACACCCGCUGACACAUGUAGACUGAUCAUGUGCAUACGGUGUACACAAACAGACAACAACACAAGUACAGCCACCAGAGCAAGUGUCAGAGCAGCAAGCUCAUUUCCCACUCAGUGAGUGUGUCAGUGGGCUCUGUCAUACUCGCAAACAGACAGAUGGACAUGAGAGGGAGAGAGAGAGAGAGGUGAGGGAAGUAAGAGUUGUGGAAAAGCAGAGUGACGCCCUGUGGCUCAGGCCCAUUAACAGUCCUGAUCUAUGCUGCUCUGCACGCUGUGGUGGGAUAACAUCAGCCAUGUGUGUGUGUGGUGUGUAUGCGUUAGGUGUGUGUGUGUGUGUGGUGAUGCAGGAUCUGCAAAAGUUGGUGUUUUUAGGAUAUUUUGGUGGGCAGACAGGCACCAGACAGCCUGAGUCCAGAGUUUAGCUUGGGGGGGAUGAGAUUAAGUUUUUGAAGGGGCUGACACACACACAUGCACACACACUCAAACUAACACCAUCACUCUAAGACACACAAUCCAAACCUCAAGAGUGCAGUUGAGGGUGUUAUUAGUGAACGUCUGGGGCCCUGUCAUAAGUUUGGAGGAGUGGAGACAGUCCGUCUUUAUGUCUUGUGCUGACAUUGGUGUGGGUUUGGUUUCAUGUCCCAACAAUUAUAACUUGUCCCUCUCUCUGUAUCUGGAGGUCGCAGUGAACCCAUCAGCGUCCAAUUAAAUCCCCGAUGGUAGGAAAGACACGGAGAGGAGGAAUGAUGAGAGGGAUCAGCUGAAAGAAGCGUCCUCAGGUUUCUCUAUACAAUAUGUGCAUAAUGACUUCCUCUGACAAUUAUCUUUGAUCCUCCACCCUACACCUCCCAGCAUCCUUCUCCCCUCCAUCCACCAUCUUUUUAAUCUUUUUCCAUCCUGUCGUCUCUUUUAACAUCCUCUCCAAACGCACCCGAGUGACUUCAGGAAUGACAAAUAUAUUUACUGUUACACACACACACACACACACACACACAUACACCCCUCUGUGUGAGUGGAUUCAGAGUGACUGGGUAAUGAGGCUCACUCACUCGGGGUCACUGACCUCUCGGGGGCCGAGACGAGGAGGGUGUGUGUGUGUGUUUUGAAAGAGAGGGAAGGAGAUGUGGAGAAAACAAGAAUGGAAAAGCAAGAAUUAUGAUAGGAUGGUGGUGGAGCCCCCCACUCCCACUCCCCCCAUUCCAUCAUUUCUCUCCUUUUGUCAUCUUUUCUGUGUUUCUUGUCAGCAGCCGGAGAGCUGCGUGGAUGCAGUGGGGGGAGAAAAAGGGGGGAGGGAGAAGCAGAGGGAGAAAAUGUUUAAGUGCUGAUGGCAGCCCCCUUGGUUGCUGCUGGGAUCGGGGUGUCAGCUCUUAUUCUGCCACAGCAUGAAUCUGACAGGCAAAUGAUAGAGCAGAGCGAAAGAGGGUGAGGGCGGCGAAGGAGGAGGAGGAGGAGGGGUGGGGGGCAGGGAGGGGGAUGGGCGUCUUGUGGGUGUAAUGGCGUCUGCGUUUUAAGACAGAGCGAGAAAUCCAGCGAGGAAAAUUAAGGCGAUGUUUUAUUGACCACAUCUCUGAACACACUCCUCCUUUUUCUUCCUUGGCUGAUAGAUUGAGUUAUACCUCUCCCUCGGUGACAGGAAUUCCCUCACGUUUCCACGGCAAUGAGGUCAGAGGUCACAGCUCGUUAUUGGCUGUUGUCUGUAAUCAUCACAGAUCUUGCUGUGUGUUUGUAGAGCCUCCUCCUUCUCCAUCUCUUUUGACCUCCGUGACCCGGCUCUGUGCCGCAGAGCGUGACCCUCGGGGCCUGAAGGGUCCCCACUGUUUUGAUCUUGAGGUCAGCUGUGUUUAUCGGCAUUAUGGUGUGUGUGUGUGUGUUGCAAACCUGGGUUAAUCUCAAGACAAAAAUAAUAAUAAUGACAGUUUUGUCCAACUAAGAACUAAGUGUGAGAGCUUUGUGAUUGAAAUUCGACACACACUUACACACUCUCUCUGCUCCCAGCCCCUCCUCCUCUCCUCCUCCUUCACCUCCUCUUUGCUGUUUCCUCGGUACUCUUUAUCUCUCCUUCCCAGUCUGCCCUCACUGUCAGUUUGUGGUCGGCUGAUGUUUCACAACUUCUCCCACAGCUGCUCAUCAGUCUUUGUGUGUCUUUGUGCAUCAUUACACUCUUGUCUACGGCUGAACGUGUUCAUGUUUGUGUGCGUCUGGACUGUAUACAGGAGUCUCUUUCUAUUGAUUUCUCCUCGGCAGACUGGGUUACAGAUAGCUCUCCUGAUCAACCUUAUCACUCACACACUUCCUCCUCACAACACACGGAGAAAAGAAGGAGAAAAAUGUGAAGAAGGGUGAAAGAAAAUAAAAGGAAAUGUCAGAGGAGCUGAGAAAAGAAAAAAAAAAGGUCAGUCAGUCUGGAAACACGUCUGUGUGUCCAUGUUCUUACACAAGGAGGUGUGUGAUGAAACAGACACUGUGAGGGCAGAUGGAGGCAGUGAUAGAGCUGAUGGGUUCCUUCCAGGCUCCCGUAGAAGCACAUAUACUGAAGCAAAAGAUGCACUAUUGACUUCUCACCACCUAUGAAGACAAAUGCCCAAAGAACGGCUGGAAUAGCCGCUCCUAAUAGACCAUCAUUACCCCGUGGAGUGUGUGUCUGCGUGUGUGUUUGAAGUGUGUGGCUGUGAUAGAAUUGGGUCUCAGUGACAGUGGACGGGACGUGGACGGUAAGUGAUGGAAGGCUUGGCUAACGUGAUGUGUCAGUCAUAUGAGGCUUGUCCAAUCAAUGGGAGCAUGUGACCAGUUUUGGGGCUACGUGAGUGUGUGUGUCGGUGUGUGUGUACGUGUGUGUGAGUGUGGGUGAUACAGUUAUGUUUGUCAUGCACAACCACGCCUGCAGAUUCAAGGCAGACUGUUGAUUUUCAGGACUGGAGGCUGAAAACGAGAAGAAGAGGAAGAGGAAGAAGAAGAGGAGGAGGAGAUCUGAAUGAAGCAGAUGCUUAAGGGCAAGUUUUAAGCCCCGUUUGCACACGCACACACACAACACACGCACGCUCGCACGCGUGCACACUUUUCCUCCCUCUUCACUCUCGUCCUCUCUCCCAUGAUGAAUCAGCUGUCACUCAGGCACCAGUCCAAUCUACUGAUAAUGAGAACUGCAUCAACACCCUCUCGCCUCUCUUCCUCCCUCUUUCUCUUUCUCUUUCUCUCAAUCCUUCUUCACACACACACACACACACACACACGCACACGCACACACACA